AUUGAACGCUGGCGGCAUGCCUUACACAUGCAAGUCGAACGGUGAUCCAUCAGCUUGCUGGUGGUGAUCAGUGGCGAACGGGUGAGUAACACGUGAGUAACCUGCCCCUGACUCUGGAAUAACCCCGGGAAACCGGGGCUAAUACCGGAUAUGACAUCAUCCCGCAUGGGUGUGGUGUGGAAAGUUUUUCGGUUGGGGAUGGGCUCGCGGCCUAUCAGCUUGUUGGUGAGGUAGUGGCUCACCAAGGCGACGACGGGUAGCCGGCCUGAGAGGGCGACCGGCCACACUGGGACCGAGACACGGCCCAGACUCCUACGGGAGGCAGCAGUGGGGAAUAUUGCACAAUGGGCGGAAGCCUGAUGCAGCGACGCCGCGUGAGGGAUGACGGCCUUCGGGUUGUAAACCUCUUUCAGCUCUGAAGAAGCGAAAGUGACGGUAGGAGCAGAAGAAGCACCGGCUAACUACGUGCCAGCCGCCGCAGUAAGAC
rnacentral:rRNA from 1 species